rnacentral:tRNA from 2 species
GGGGAUGUGGUCUAAUGGUAAGAUUCUGUUUCGAGUGUACGGUGCCGAUGGCAGAGCUCAACCCACUGCGCGGAUUCAGAGACGUCGGUUCGAUCCCGGACUUCUCCA